rnacentral:lncRNA from 1 species
GUUGCUUUUAUUACCAGAAUAAAUGUUAAACAGUUUAAAUGGAAUAGUGUCUGAGAUGAUUUCUCUUAAGCUGUACAUCUUCUAGGCAAAUGUGUGAGAACUACUGAUUUGUUCCCCUUGUUCAGAUUACACAAAUGUGAAUGCAGCAGAGAUUUGACUUGGUGUCUCCUUCUACAAAUGCAGGAGGAAAAAAUGGAAAGAGAAAGCCUCCCCUGGGAAGAAAGGGAGUGAUCCCAUUAUAAAUGAGAGUCAUACAACAUCCUUCCGGAGGCGUGUUGAAAUUUCCCAUGGGAGGAAGAAGAGUAAACAAAGGUAGAAUGGAGGGGAUACUUAACAGGCCUGGAUUUACUGGGAAGGCUGAAACGCCUGUGUGUAUUUCCUGCCUUUCCCUGGGUGGUAUUUACAAAUCAUGGUUCUCCAGCAGAGUGCCAUGGUCUCUCUCCAGCUGCUCAAAUCCGCAUACUCGGUUUGGGCAGCAGAGAGAAAACAAUGUACAAUGAGUCUCUACUGCAUUGUAAACAAGUGAGAAGAAAGAAAGAAAAAGAAAACUUUAUAAAUCAUAAUACCCUACUUCUGCAUAGCAUAAUUCAUCUCAAAGGAUUUUAAAAUGUUUAGCAAAGAGAGAUUAAUUUUCAACUGUAGGUGGGGAAUGGUCAUCCCAGCUGAGAAGAUACUUCAGCACAGAUCCUCCUAUGCGAUGGGGAACUCGAUCAGUUUUAGAGCACCAUUACAGCCACCUUAUUCCAGGAAGAUGUUUGUUCUCAACCAUUCAGAGUACUGCGAUCUCUUCACUCAUUGCAGUUGUUGAGCAUAGCCACUGCUAAGCAGUGUGCAGUAGUAUGAGAAGGAAGCAAAUAAUACCUUCCUAGUUGAAGCUGGGAAAUGUUGAUCCUUUGACCAAGCUGUUAUGGAAGACACACUGCCACUGAACUCUGGGAAUAGUGCACUGGAGGCCAACACUGCUUUUUUUUUAAAAGAUCUUAUGGAAGGGUCACAAGUGCUUAUACAAUCACUUUAAAAACAUGGACUAG